rnacentral:rRNA from 1 species
GACGAACGCUGGCGGCGUGCUUAACACAUGCAAGUCGAACGGAAAGGCCCUGCUUUUGUGGGGUGCUCGAGUGGCGAACGGGUGAGUAACACGUGAGUAACCUGCCCUUGACUUUGGGAUAACUUCAGGAAACUGGGGCUAAUACCGGAUAGGAGCUCCUGCUGCAUGGUGGGGGUUGGAAAGUUUCGGCGGUUGGGGAUGGACUCGCGGCUUAUCAGCUUGUUGGUGGGGUAGUGGCUUACCAAGGCUUUGACGGGUAGCCGGCCUGAGAGGGUGACCGGCCACAUUGGGACUGAGAUACGGCCCAGACUCCUACGGGAGGCAGCAGUGGGGAAUAUUGCACAAUGGGCGGAAGCCUGAUGCAGCAACGCCGCGUGCGGGAUGACGGCCUUCGGGUUAUAAACCGCUUGCGCCUGUGACGAAGCGUGAGUGACGGUAAUGGGUAAAGAAGCACCGGCUAACUACGUG